GGCCUUGCUGGCGCAAUCGGUAGCGCGUGAGACUCUUAAUCUCAAGGUUGGGGGUUCGAGCCCCCCGCAGGGCUUC
rnacentral:tRNA from 1 species